CGCACAUUGCGCCUUCUGGUAUUCCGGUAGGCAUGCCUGUCUGAGCGUCAGCAAAACCCUCAGCAAUAGCUGGUGUUGAGCGCGGAGAGACUGUUCUCCCGCUUUAAAAGCUGAUGCCGCAAUCCCUUGCAGUUGAUAGAGUUGGUGUUUACAUUUUUUCUAUGAGACUGCGAGGGGGUCGCGGCCAAACCGAGAGCGCUUGCGCGCCUUUUGAAAGUUUGACCUCAGAUCAGACAAGGAUACCCGCUGAACUUAA
rnacentral:misc_RNA from 1 species